rnacentral:rRNA from 1 species
UACGUAGGGACCGAGCGUUGUCCGGAUUCAUUGGGCGUAAAGAGCUCGUAGGCGGCUGCUCAAGUCGAAUGUGAAAACUCGAGGCUCAACCUCGAGCCUGCAUUCGAUACUGGGCGGCUAGAGUCUGGUAGGGGGAUCUGGAAUUCCUGGUGUAGCGGUGAAAUGCGCAGAUAUCAGGAGGAACACCAGCGGCGAAGGCGGCGCUCUGGGCUGGAACUGACGCUGAGGAGCGAAAGCGUGGGGAGCGAACAGG